rnacentral:rRNA from 1 species
GACGAACGCUGGCGGCGUGCCUAACACAUGCAAGUCGAGCGAGUGGAGUUCUUCGGAACAAAGCUAGCGGCGGACGGGUGAGUAACACGUGGGCAACCUGCCUUAUAGAGGGGAAUAGCCUCCCGAAAGGGAGAUUAAUACCGCAUAAGCUUGUAGCUUCGCAUGAAGUAGCAAUUAAAGGAGUAAUCCGCUAUGAGAUGGGCCCGCGGCGCAUUAGCUCGUUGGUGAGGUAACGGCUCACCAAGGCGGCGAUGCGUAGCCGACCUGAGAGGGUGAUCGGCCACAUGGGGACUGAGACACGGCCCAGACUCCUACGGGAGGCAGCAGUGGGGAAUAUUGCACAAUGGGGUAAACCCUGAUGAGGCAACGCCGCGUGAGUGAUGACGGCCUUCGGGUUGUAAAGCUCUGUCUUCAGGGACGAUAAUGACGGUACCUGAGGAGGAAGCCACGGCUAACUACGUGCCAGCCGCCGCCGUAACAC